rnacentral:misc_RNA from 1 species
CGAUAAUCAGUAGGAUAAGCUCAAAAAAAAAGCCCUGACUGAUGUCAGGGCUUUUUU